GACGAACGCUGGCGGCGUGCUUAACACAUGCAAGUCGAACGGUCAAGCGCCUUCCUUUUUGGUUGGUGUUUAUGAGUGGCCAACUGGUUAGUAACACGUUAGUAACCUUCUCCCUUCUUCUUGACAACCGCAUGACAGUGUUGCUACUACGUGAUAUUCUGGAUCUCUCGCUUCAUUGGUCUGGGACAGAUUUUGUUUCGGUUGUGGAUGGGCUCGCGGCCUAUCAGCUUGUUGGUGGGGUGAUGGCCUACCAAGGCGGUGACGGGUAGCCGGCCUGAGAGGGUGGACGGUAAUAGAGGGGAUGAGAGACCGAGCAGACUACGAGGGGAGGCAGUAGGGGAGAAUAUGGAACGAGGGGAGGAAGGAUGAAGCAGCGACGCGGGGGGAAGGAUGGAGGUCGUAGGGUUGUAAACCUCUAUCGGCAGUGAAGAAGGGUGGAAGUGUUUGUGGGUGGGUUGACGGUAGCUGGAUAAGAAGCGACGGCUAACUACGUG
rnacentral:rRNA from 1 species